UUUAGAGCCGCAGCACGCUGCUUCUAUUAUAUAUAGCGUCCAAAUCCAUGUCCACUCCCACGUCUGUUUCUUCCUACAUCAAGAAAUGUUGGUGCUGCCUUCCGUCAUCCCUUUGCAGUUUGAACAGUUCUCUUGCCAUCAGCAGUACAGCAGCAUCCAUUUUCAUUGGUCCUCCUAUACGUGUUAUUGAUCGAUUUAUAGCCUCAGCAGCAGUUCUAACAGGCCAUUGCUAUGCGACUCAUGUUGCCAUCACAGCGUUGAUUCCAUCAGCAGCAGCUUCUAUCGAUUGAGUCGUCAACAGAUCAACCAGCAGGUAGACAUUUUUUUUAUUUCUGGUCGUGUGAGUGCAGGAUCAAUACCGUGUCUGUAACUGACAGCAACGUAGACGCAGUAACCUUAACAAUCAAGAUUAUUUCAGUCGUUUUCAGUCCCACCUCUUCUUUGCCAGAAAAUUGGAAUUUUUUUUAAUUAUUAAAGUUCAAUCAG